rnacentral:rRNA from 1 species
AUUGAACGCUGGCGGCAGGCCUAACACAUGCAAGUCGAACGAGUGGCGGACGGGUGAGUAAUGUCUGGGAAACUGCCCGAUGGAGGGGGAUAACUACUGGAAACGGUAGCUAAUACCGCAUACCAUCGGAUGUGCCCAGAUGGGAUUAGCUAGUAGGGGGGGUAACGGCUCACCUAGGCGACGAUCCCUAGCUGGUCUGAGAGGAUGACCCGGCCAAACGGAACCUAGGCACGGGCCAGACUCCUACGGGAGGCAGCAGGGGGGAAAAUUGGACAAUGGGCGGAAGCCUGAUGGAGCCAUGCCGCGUGUAAGAAGAAGGCCUUUGGGUUGGAAAGUACUUUCAGCGAGGAGGCGUUACUCGCAGAAGAAGCACCGGCUAACUCCGUGCCAGCAGCCGCGGUAAUUC